GUCUUCUUAGUGCAGCCGGCAGCGUGUCAGUCUCAUAAUCUGGAGGCCCUGAGUUUGAUCCUCAGAGAAGACG